rnacentral:rRNA from 1 species
GCGAGCGGCGGAUGGGUGAGUAACACGUGGGGAACCUGCCCCAUAGUCUAGGAUACCACUUGGAAACAGGUGCUAAUACCGGAUAAGAAAGCAGAUCGCAUGAUCAGCUUUUAAAAGGCGGCGUAAGCUGUCGCUAUGGGAUGGCCCCGCGGUGUAUUAGCUAGUUGGUAAGGUAAAGGCUUACCAAGGCGAUGAUGCAUAGCCGAGUUGAGAGACUGAUCGGCCACAUUGGGACUGAGACACGGCCCAAACUCCUACGGGAGGCAGCAGUAGGGAAUCUUCCACAAUGGACGCAAGUCUGAUGGAGCAACGCCGCGUGAGUGAAGAAGGUUUUCGGAUCGUAAAGCUCUGUUGUUGGUGAAGAAGGAUAGAGGUAGUAACUGGCCUUUAUUUGACGGUAAUCAACCAGAAAGUCACGGCUAACUACGUGCCAGCAGCCGCGGUAAUACGUAGGUGGCAAGCGUUGUCCGGAUUUAUUGGGCGUAAAGCGAGCGCAGGCGGAAGAAUAAGUCUGAUGUGAAAGCCCUCGGCUUAACCGAGGAACUGCAUCGGAAACUGUUUUUCUUGAGUGCAGAAGAGGAGAGUGGAACUCCAUGUGUAGCGGUGGAAUGCGUAGAUAUAUGGAAGAACACCAGUGGCGAAGGCGGCUCUCUGGUCUGCAACUGACGCUGAGGCUCGAAAAGCAUGGGUACCGAACAGGAUUAGGAUACCCCUGGUAGUCCAUGCCCGUAAACGAUGAGUGCUAAGUGUUGGG